UCUUAAAUAAAAAUCCAUCACCAACAGAAAUAUCACAAACAUCAUCGUUGUCGGUUGUGGUAAAUAAUCUCAGUAUUUCGUAUAAAAAUUAUCAAACAUCAAGUCCUUAUGAAGAAAAUGAACAAAUUGAAGUGGCAAUUAAAGCCUCAUUACAAGAUCACAAUAAUCACGAUGACAAUGAUGAUGAUUGCCAAAUUAUUGAGAAUGAAUCAAUGAUGGAACAACAGCAACCGCAAAACGAUAAUUGGUGAAAUUAUUUAGGAUCAGAUGAAAGCAAUAAAAUGAAAAUAGACAUGCAAUAUCCGAAUGGUAAUAAAGAAAAGAAUAUUUUCCAUCGGAUUUAAAACUAAAGAUAAAUCAUUGUCAAUUAUAAUUUUAUAUUUCUAACUUUGUUUUUUUAAAUUGAAUAAAAAUCAAAUUAUUAUUGAAUUAUUGAA